rnacentral:rRNA from 1 species
UACGGGGGGGCAAGCGUUGUUCGGAAUUACUGGGCGUAAAGGGCUCGUAGGCGGCCAACUAAGUCGGAUGUGAAAUCCCCAGGCUCAACUUGGGAACUGCAUCCGAUACUGGAUGGCUUGAAUUCGGGAGAGGGAUGCAGAAUUCCAGGUGUAGCGGUGAAAUGCGUAGAUAUCUGGAGGAAUACCGGUGGCGAAGGCGGCAUCCUGGACCGACAUUGACGCU